rnacentral:rRNA from 1 species
CAGGCUGCAACCCGCCUGCAUGAAGUCGGAAUUGCUAGUAAUCGCGGAUCAGCAUGCCGCGGUGAAUACGUUCCCGGGCCUUGUACACACCGCCCGUCACACCAUGAGAGCCGGUAACACCCGAAGUCAGUAGCCUAACCGCGAAGGGGGGCGCUGCCGAAGGUGGGAUUGGUAAUUGGGGUGAAGUCGUAACAAGGUAAC